UACGUAGGGUGCGAGCGUUGUCCGGAAUUAUUGGGCGUAAAGAGCUUGUAGGCGGUUUGUCGCGUCUGCUGUGAAAAUCCGGGGCUCAACCCCGGACUUGCAGUGGGUACGGGCAGACUAGAGUGUGGUAGGGGAGACUGGAAUUCCUGGUGUAGCGGUGAAAUGCGCAGAUAUCAGGAGGAACACCGGUGGCGAAGGCGGGUCUCUGGGCCGAUACUGACGCUGAGGCGCGAAAGCGUGGGGGAGCGAACAGG
rnacentral:rRNA from 1 species